rnacentral:rRNA from 1 species
GAUGAACGCUGGCGGCGUGCCUAAUACAUGCAAGUCGAACGCUGAAGGAAGGAGCCUGCUCUUUCCGGAUGAGUUGCGAACGGGUGAGUAACGCGUAGGUAACCUGCCUGGUAGCGGGGGAUAACUAUUGGAAACGAUAGCUAAUACCGCAUAACAGUAGAUGUUGCAUGAUAUCUACUUAAAAGGUGCAAUUGCACCACUACCAGAUGGACCUGCGUUGUAUUAGCUAGUUGGUGAGGUAACGGCUCACCAAGGCGACGAUACAUAGCCGACCUGAGAGGGGGAUCGGCCACACUGGGACUGAGACACGGCCCAGACUCCUACGGGAGGCAGCAGGAGGGAAUCUUCGGCAAUGGGCGGAAGGCUGACCGAGGAACGCCGCGGGAGGGAAGAAGGUUGUCGGAUCGGAAAGCUCGGUUGUAAGAGAAGAAAGAGAGUGGGAGUGGAAAGUUCACACUGUGACGGUAGCUAACCAGAAAGGGACGGCUAACUACGUG